rnacentral:lncRNA from 1 species
GGCCCAGAAACAGAAACUUCUGUUCUGCAUGUUUUUACGCACAUAUUUAACUGUACUUAUCGGUGUCAUCCUGGGACAGUGCUUCUUCCUCAGAACUUCAGUGACAUAAAAAAGGGCAGUGCUUUUAAUGUAAGCCUUUGCUUUAGUCUCCUGAAACUUACAGUGCGAAGCUACUGUUUUAAAUAACUGGAAUAGAUCAUUAAACCCCAGAAUCUAGUUAAGAAAUGCAUUUGAACUCUUAGUAAGGUACUCUAGAUAUGGUCAGCACCAGUGAAAAUUAGAUUGUUUCAGUAAAGUUCUAAGAAGUUGAAAUGCAUUUCAAUUGAAUCAUCACAAGAGAAAAAAAAAUCAUUUUGGAGACUAUUCUUAAAAUUUAUGAUUUUGCUCUCUGCUAUGAAUGAAAUGAGCUAUGCAUCAUUUUCAAAAUACUUUUUUAUACAAAUGCCACAGAAUUAUAAAAACUGGGGAAAUUAUGCAUCUGUCUUUUAACUUUUAUUUUUGCAAAGAACAGUAUUCUUAAGCUUAUUAGGUUUUUGUAUAGGUGAGAACAGAUGCUGGCCGUGCACGAAGCUAAACUGUUAUUGAACAUAGUGCUGCAGAAAGCAAAGUGGGACAAAAGUGAAGCCUAAACCAAGAUCAGUGUUAUUCGCACAGCCUGCCAUGCUUGGACGGAACCGUUUUUUCUUCGAAGAAUAAACAGAAUGCUGCAUCUAAAGAGUAAGAAGUUACAGACUUACUUCCUUGCUUUCUUCAAAAACAGAAGGAUGCUUUUAAAGAUAAGGAUUUUGAAAUGAAGAAUAAAAAAGGAGAAUGUUUUCAGAAAAAGAGUUUAUAACGGACCAGAUAAAUACAUGUGUUAUCUUUUAAAAAUAUUUAACUCAAGUGAAGCUCCCGUAUGGCAAGCCUCAAGACCAAGUUUCAGGGUCUUCAAAGGAGGACAUAUCUCAUUUCUGGUGUGCUUGCCAAGAAGAGGUUAUGAAGACUGCAUGGUGUCUUGAAAAAUGAACUUUGUUAUCUUGCUAUGGAAUGGGUAAUUGUAUAAGAUCAGUGUCUUGUCUUGCUUUUCUGAUGUGCAAAAUGAAGCUUGUCCAAUAUGUGUUACCCCAGAAAGAAUUAAGAUAAUUGAAGUCAGAAUAUCUAAACUUGGAUCACUUGCAAGCAAGGAUGAUCUGCAUGCACAUGUUCUGUAAAGAUAAUGGAUAACAGAUCCAGAUGAUUCCUGAUUUAAAGCUACGGAUGAGGAGUAAUCCUGAUUCCCAUAUUAAAAGGAGGGGAAUUUCAUAAUGGGGAGAAGACUGAGAAUGCGUGGAACCUUUCUGCUCUGGGACUGGAAGUACUGAAGAAUGGACAUGAGUCAGAGACAGGGACAGAAAGAGCAGAAAGCCUGAGGGACCUUUGACCAUUCAGAGAACAUUCACCAGGUUUAACUAGCUGUUCUCUGUCCGAUGCUCACUGACUGUUCCACUCUUUCUGCCUCUUUACUUCUACUUCAAUCCUGUUUACACUGUGUGCUUUUUUUUUUCCCACAAUGUGCCCUUCUUAGUGCUUUUUAAAGUUUUUUGUUUGGCUGACUUUUUUUUUGCUUGUUUGUUUGUUUGUUUUAAUGGAGGACUUUUAACUGUCCUGUGUUCAUGCUCUCUCUCACAAAUCAGAAUUUCAGUUUUCAUAAGUUUUCAAGUAUGAUGAAUGUUCCUUUGUCCUGCUUUUUGUAAGGAAUCACUUGAAGGCAAAUGAGUACCCUUAACAAGAUGAGAUGAUGUGUAUGAGAUUUAAUGGGAUAAGGGAAGCUUUGCUCCUACAGAUUUUCUGUAGGUGAACUAGAGAUUUAAAAGAGAUGUUGAACAUCUAUACAUCCUUCUAUUCAGAAAAAAAAUUCUAUAACUUUAUUUUGUUAGAGUCUGACUACUAUGUAUGAUGAACGUUUCAGAAUGGAUAUUAUGUUGACUAUGUUUGCAUUGUACGUGCAGUUGUUGGCAAUUUUGUUUGUUUGUUUUCCCUAUUCCACAGCUCUUAAAUUUGCUUUCUAGAAACCAUUUUGGUAGG